UACAGAGGUGGCAAGCGUUGUUCGGAUUUACUGGGCUUAAAGGGUGCGUAGGUGGUUCGGUGUGUCGGAUGUGAAAUCCCACUGCUUAACGGUGGAACUGCAUUCGAAACUGCCGAACUUGAGUGCAGGAGGGGAGAGCGGAAUUCUUGGUGUAGCGGUGAAAUGCGUUGAUAUCAAGAAGAACACCGGUGGCGAAGGCGGCUCUCUGGAAUGUAACUGACACUGAGGCACGAAAGCUAGGGGAG
rnacentral:rRNA from 1 species